rnacentral:misc_RNA from 1 species
GCAAGAACUUGGACCAAGCCAUAAUGAUUUGAUAGGUAAUGAUGUAGGAAGAUAUGCAUACAAUACAAAAAAUACUCAUCCUACCUAUCUGUCUUACAGCAAAAUACUAGAUUAGUAGCUACCAAUGCCUGAACGGCACUACAAAGUACAAACAGCAGGAUCGAUCAGAGACUUCCUCAAGAUACUGUGCGAAAGCCUCGCUUAUUCUCCGACUACAUAUAGUAGAUUCUUCAAGAUGGAUCUAUUUAUAUAUCCUCACUUAACGAUGUCACAGUUGGUGUUGGGGUCGAUCUUGUAAGGAAGGUUGACGUGGCAUUUGGCAGGGAGUCCGGCGGCCAGGCCAAGGUUGUAGCCUGUGUAAGGAACUCCACUGCUACUGAUUGCUGAUUUCAAGCACUUGCAUACGGCCUGGCGGUCAGGUGUUGUCUGUGCAGCGCUGUAAAGGGUCUUCAUCCCAGUGCAGCACUGUCCAGGAACGUUCCCUCCUCCAAGAACGUAGCUUACGCAUGGGGACAGGCUCCUCACCACCUGUCCACAUGUUAUUUCUGCUCUGGAGGCCUUGGGUGCACCCGCCACAAGGCUCACUAGCACCAAGCAUACCAAAUACUUAAGGACUCGAGAGUUUGCCAUGAUUUGAUUACUUUAUACCUAUGACAAAAGAGAAGGCCAUAUGCAG